rnacentral:rRNA from 1 species
GAUGAACGCUGGCGGCGUGCCUAAUACAUGCAAGUCGAGCGAAUCGGGGACGGGUGAGUAACACGUGGAUAACCUCCUCUAAGACUGGGAUAAAUUCGUGAAACCGGAGCUAAACACGAUACUUAUAGAUGGAUCCGGUAUGCAUUAGCUAGUUGGUAAGGUAACGGCUUACAAAGGCAACGAUGCAUCGACGACCUGAGAGGGUGAGCGGCCACACUGGAACUGAGACACGGUCCAGACUCCUACGGGAGGCAGCAGUAGGGAAUCUUACGCAAUGGGCGAAAGCCUGACGGAGCAACGCCGCGUGAGUGAUGAAGGGCUUCGGAUCGUAAAACUCUGUUAUUAGGGAAGCGUUACCUAAUCAGAAAGCCACGGCUAACUACGUGCCAGCCGCCGCGGUAAUAC